AAGUGAUAAAUAGAUUUACUAUAUUUUGUUACGGCCAAAAAAGAUAUUCACUUU
rnacentral:tRNA from 1 species